ACACAUGCAGUCGAGCGGUAACAGAUCUAGCUUGCUGGAUGCUGACGAGCGGCGGACGGGUGAGUAAUGCAUAGGAAUCUGCCCGAUAGUGGGGGAUAACCUGGGGAAACCCAGGCUAAUACCGCAUACGUCCUACGGGAGAAAGGGGGCUCCGGCUCCCGCUAUGGGAUGAGCCUAUGUCGGAUUAGCUAGUUGGUGAGGUAACGGCUCACCAAGGCCACGAUCCGUAGCUGGUCUGAGAGGAUGAUCAGCCACAUCGGGACUGAGACACGGCCCGAACUCCUACGGGAGGCAGCAGUGGGGAAUAUUGGACAAUGGGGGCAACCCUGAUCCAGCCAUGCCGCGUGUGUGAAGAAGGCCCUCGGGUUGUAAAGCACUUUCAGCGAGGAAGAACGCCUAGCGGUUAAUACCCGCUAGGAAAGACAUCACUCGCAGAAGAAGCACCGGCUAACUCCGUGCCAGCAGCCGCGGUAAUACGGAGGGUGCAAGCGUUAAUCGGAAUUACUGGGCGUAAAGCGCGCGUAGGUGGCUUGAUAAGCCGGUUGUGAAAGCCCCGGGCUCAACCUGGGAACGGCAUCCGGAACUGUCAAGCUAGAGUGCAGGAGAGGAAGGUAGAAUUCCCGGUGUAGCGGUGAAAUGCGUAGAGAUCGGGAGGAAUACCAGUGGCGAAGGCGGCCUUCUGGACUGACACUGACACUGAGGUGCGAAAGCGUGGGUAGCAAACAGGAUUAGAUACCCUGGUAGUCCACGCCGUAAACGAUGUCGACCAGCCGUUGGGUGCCUAGCGCACUUUGUGGCGA
rnacentral:rRNA from 1 species